UGGGGAAUUUUGGACAAUGGGCGCAAGCCUGAUCCAGCCAUGCCGCGUGCAGGAUGAAGGCCUUCGGGUUGUAAACUGCUUUUGUACGGAACGAAAAGACUCUGGUUAAUACCUGGGGUCCAUGACGGUACCGUAAGAAUAAGCACCGGCUAACUACGUGCCAGCAGCCGUGGUAAUACGUAGGGUGCGAGCGUUAAUCGGAAUUACUGGGCGUAAAGCGUGCGCAGGCGGUUAUGUAAGACUGAUGUGAAAUCCCCGGGCUCAACCUGGGAACUGCAUUUGUGACUGCAUAGCUAGAGUACGGCAGAGGGGGAUGGAAUUCCGCGUGGAGCAGUGAAAUGCGUAGAGAUGUGGAGGAACACCGAUGGCGAAGGCAAUCCCCUGGACCUGUACUGACGCUCAUGCACGGAAGCGUGGGGAGCAAACA
rnacentral:rRNA from 1 species